GAUGAACGCUGGCGGCGUGCUUAACACAUGCAAGUCGAACGGAAAGGCCCUGCUUUUGUGGGGUGCUCGAGUGGCGAACGGGUGAGUAACACGUGAGUAACCUGCCCUUGACUUUGGGAUAACUUCAGGAAACUGGGGCUAAUACCGGAUAGGAGCUCCUGCUCCAUGGUGGGGGUUGGUAAGUUUCGGCGGUUGGGGAUGGACUCGCGGCUUAUCAGCUUGUUGGUGGGGUAGUGGCUUACCAAGGCUUUGACGGGUAGCCGGCCUGAGAGGGUGACCGGGCACAUUGGGACUGAGAUACGGCCCAGACUCCUACGGGAGGCAGCAGGGGGGAAUAUUGCACAAUGGGCGGAAGCCUGAUGCAGCAGCGCCGCGUGCGGGAUGCCCGCCUUCGGGUUGUAAACCGCUUUCGCAUGUGACGAAGCGUGAGUGACGGUAAUGGGUAAAGAAGCACCGGCUAACUACGUG
rnacentral:rRNA from 1 species